rnacentral:rRNA from 1 species
UACGUAGGGUGCGAGCGUUGUCCGGAAUUAUUGGGCGUAAAGAGCUUGUAGGCGGUGUGUUACGUCGGCCGUGAAAACCUGCAGCUUAACUGUGGGCGUGCGGUCGAUACGGGCAUCACUGGAGUUCGGCAGGGGAGACUGGAAUUCCUGGUGUAGCGGUGAAAUGCGCAGAUAUCAGGAGGAACACCGGUGGCGAAGGCGGGUCUCUGGGCCGAUACUGACGCUGAGGAGCGAAAGCGUGGGGAGCGAACAGG